AACGAACGCUGGCGGCAUGCCUAACACAUGCCAGUCGAACGAGACCUUCGGGUCUAGUGGCGCACGGGUGCGUAACGCGUGGGAACCUGCCCUUAGGUUCGGAAUAACUCCCCGAAAGGGGUGCUAAUACCGGAUAAUAUCUUCGGACCAAAGAUUUAUCGCCUUUGGAUGGGCCCGCGUUGGAUUAGCUAGUUGGUAGGGUAAAAGCCUACCAAGGCGACGAUCCAUAGCUGGUCUGAGAGGAUGAUCAGCCACACUGGGACUGAGACACGGCCCAGACUCCUACGGGAGGCAGCAGUGGGGAAUAUUGGACAAUGGGCGAAAGCCUGAUCCAGCAAUGCCGCGUGAGUGAUGAAGGCCUUAGGGUUGUAAAGCUCUUUUACCCGGGAUGAUAAUGACAGUACCGGGAGAAUAAGCCCCGGCUAACUCCGUG
rnacentral:rRNA from 1 species